rnacentral:lncRNA from 1 species
CUCGAAUUCUUAUAUUGUUCCCGGCAGAGUCGUCAUAGAUGUCACACCCCUCUCUGUAGUUCAUGAAGACCAUAAGACUAUGCUGCUGGAUAAGAAAAAAUUCUUUCUUUUAAAAAUAAAUUAUUUCUUUGAAAAAUGAUUCACUAAAUUUGAGGAUGAUUUAACCUCUUGCAUUUUAAAGUUGCCUAAAGUCGAUCAACAAACAAAUAACCUUCCAAAUAAAUGUCAAAGAGUCGUAGGAUGCACAUAUUGAUCUUUAUAAAGUAGGUCACCUGUCCUAGACAGACCCGACUCCUAUGUCGAGUCCCGCUAAGUCAAAUGCAUAUGAUGCAAAUAAAGCGAAACCUAAUAGGGAUAACCAGAUUCUGAGUUUUCAGUUCUUCUAAGUUUAAGCCUAAUAGGAAUAGGUGUCUAGAUUGGCUUACCCGAGCGGACACUCGAGUCGAGGAGGGACAAAUUGUUCGGUAGAAGGGCUACACCGAUUUCGUUGUCAAUCCGAACCCCACCUAACACGACUAUAAUCCUUCACCAGGUGCCUUGACACUUCGGCUAUCUCAAAAAGAAAGUAGGAUGCAUGCGCUGCAUUCCUUCUAUCCUAUUUCAGAGACUUGGAGGGGGUGCGCAAGAGAAAAUAGAUUAUAAUACAGUUCAACAAUAUCAAAGUAGUAAAUGAGCGACAAGUAGCACAUAAGGCCAACAAACACAAUAUCAAAAUAAUUAAAGCAAGUAAAGUCAAUAUCAAAAGCUUGAAUUCUUAUAUUGUUCCCGGCAGAGUCGUCAUAGAUGUCACACCCCUUUUUCUCUUGAGAGAGUCAAGUCGAAGAAUUUUUCCAAUUUAAGUGACGAUUUUGAAUAGGGAUUAGUUUAUUUACAGAGUCGCCACUUGGAAUUGAGUUAUGGUGUUCUAAGUCACCUUUUUGAAUCCCCAAUCAAAAGGAAUUGACUCUUUAUUAUGGUCUGCGAAAACAGAAGGUCAGGUAAGAAAUUCUGUUGAUCGAGGGGAAGGUGUGAGGUACCCCUCGAGUCCCGUGGUUCUAGCACGGUCGCUUUUAUUGACUUAUCUUGACUUAAAGUAUUUUGAUGAAUUAUUUUAAAACCUAAAUUUACUCAUUUUUAAUAUACUAAGACUAUUUAAAAACUCUUGUAUUAAAUCGAUAAAAAGUUAAUUUUAGGAAAGUAUUAAAUAAAUCGGUGAAAGUUAAUUCUAGAAAAAUAUUUACCGAGGUGCAUUGUUGCAUCCUUGAAUUUUAAAUGUCUCAGAAAGAUGCAUAUGCCACAUUCUUAAUUGAGACGAAUAUUUUAAAUGUGCCUAAAAUUUAUCUAGCGUUAAAAUGCAUUUGUUUCGUCUCUUGUAAACUCGAGACAAUUUUAUCUUAUUCAAUUUUUUUUUUCUCUUUAUUUUGCAACGACUUUUAGAUUAUUCCGCAACUCACCUCGCUCCCUCACAAAUGAGUUUUUCCUCUCUUUUCUUUUAUCAAUAGCAACGAAUCUUUCUCACAUUAAUUUUUCGAUUAGGAGUUAAGCACAUCCAAAUUCAUAAGUUAUUAUUUAUUUAUUUUUAGAACGAAAUGAUUAUUGCAACAACAACUUCAAAGUAUGCACUAGCUUUACAAGUAUUUUUAAAUAGCAUGUAAAAUUUAUCAAAUAAAACAUAUAGGAAGAAUUAUUUACACUAGUACAUUCUUUAUUACUAAAACAAAGCCAUGCAUCUAAUAAAUUAAUAAAAAUGAAAUACAUUCCUUUAAUCCCACCAAAGUUAACCCACCAGCUAACAAAUCUUAUAUUAACAAUAACUAAAUUCCCACUACAAUUCCUUUGCUUGUUUUAGCACAACAUAUAAUAAAUAGUAGCACUUCUAUUCCACGAUAGGUAAAUAAAAUUUAGUCCAUAGAGGUGAAAAUAUUGUUUGAGUAGCCACAUAAUGCAUGGGCAAGAGAAAUUAAACAUCAAUCAAUUUUCAAAAGAAUGAGUAAUUCUCAAUUAGAAAAAGAAAAAUCACUAAAAGUGAAUUAAGUCCAAACUCAACCCUAGUCAUAAUUCAUUUAUUACCUCCCAUUAUUUAUUUUUUAUACUCCAAUUAUUGGUUAAACUUAGCCACCAACUACAGCCUACGUGUAAAACAAGCAUGUUGCAGUACAUGACUAGUUUGCAAUUUUAAUUGCAAUUCACCCAAACAACAUGUGUAAUUGUCCCCUCACUUCUACAUCAAUUUUUCAUGUAUGUAAUCCACUAUUUGAGCCUUAAUCCAUUGUUUUGUCAUUAAACAAUUAGGAUGCUAGGGAUUAUUUUAAACCUAUAUUUUUAAAAAAUCUGCAUAACUAAAUCCAUGCUAACCUAUGAACAACUCAACUAUUUAAUAUGCUAAUUCCAAGUAACGUUAUAACACACAUAAAACAGGACACAUAACAAAAUAAGUAAACUAUUAAAUCAUAAUACAAAACUUCCUUUACAUAUGCUGAUUCACAACUCAAAGUAACAUAAUCACAUAAACUACUUUAUUCAUGCUUUGGAUUCACAACAAUACUUAUAAAAGUAAAUAGAAAGGAACUGAAUAAGAACAAACCAAGGCGUAAAAGCAAGAAUGUCGUCACCGGUAACUCGAACGAAACUCCGAAUUCUGAACCUGAUUUUUUUUUCUCUUUCUUUUUCUUUCUCUCUGUUUCUGCUUUCCUUCUUCUUAUUUUUCACUCUGUUUUUUCCUUCUUUUCCUGUUUUUUCUCUGUCAUUUUCCGUCUAUGGUUUUCCCUCAAUUUUAGUCUGUUUUUCUGAUAAGGAUCGUACGUAUUUUGGGGAAGUCAGGAAUUUAUACGCUGAUGGGGAAAGAGGUUGAGGGAAGUUGGGAUAUAGAGAGGAUAGGGUAGUUGAG